AACGUGGAGACAGGUGGUGCAUGGCUGUCGUCAGCUCGUGUCGUGAGAUGUUGGGUUAAGUCCCGCAACGAGCGCAACCCUCACCCCUUGUUGCUACCAGGUAAAGCUGGGCACUCUAGGGGAACUGCCCCGGUCAACGGGGAGGAAGGCGGGGAUGACGUCAAGUCCUCAUGGCCCUUAUGUCUUGGGCUACACACGUGCUACAAUGGCCGGUACAAAGGGAUGCAACACCGCGAGGUAGAGCUAAACCCAAAAAGCCGGUCUAAGUUCAGAUUGGAGUCUGCAACUCGACUCCAUGAAGGAGGAAUCGCUAGUAAUCGCGUAUCAGCACGACGCGGUGAAUACGUUCCCGGGCCUUGUACACACCGCCCGUCACACCACGAAAGCCAGCUGUACUCGAAGUCGCUGAG
rnacentral:rRNA from 1 species